CGGGAGGAAGGUGGGAUGACGUCAAGUCAUCAUGGCCCUUACGACCAGGGCUACACACGUGCUACAAUGGCGCAUACAAAGAGAAGCGACCUCGCGAGAGCAAGCGGACCUCAUAAAGUGCGUCGUAGUCCGGAUUGGAGUCUGCAACUCGACUCCAUGAAGUCGGAAUCGCUGGUAAUCGUGGAUCAGAAUGCCACGGUGAAUACGUUCCCGGGCCUU
rnacentral:rRNA from 1 species